ensembl:miRNA
AAUCAGUGAUGUUCUUGUCAGUGUUAAUCAGUGGUACCUGAAGGGAGGUUUUCUGGGUUUCUGUUUCUUUAUUGAGGAUGAAACACACCUGGUUAACCUCUUUUCCAGUAUCAGUCCCCACCUUGGAGGCCUUCUGGUCCAGA